rnacentral:rRNA from 1 species
UACGAAGGGGGCUAGCGUUGUUCGGAAUUACUGGGCGUAAAGCGUGCGCAGGCGGUUUGGUAAGACAGAUGUGAAAUCCCCGGGCUUAACCUGGGAAUUGCAUUUGUGACUGCCCGGCUAGAGUGUGUCAGAGGGGGGUAGAAUUCCACGUGUAGCAGUGAAAAUGCGUAGAUAUCGGGAGGAACACCAGUGGCGAAGGCGGCGAUCUGGGAAGAUACUGACGCUGAGGUGCGAAAGCGUGGGGGAGCAAACAGGG